rfam:Trichoderma harzianum strain T6776 Scaffolds0841.1, whole genome shotgun sequence.
UCUUCCGUAGUAUAGUGGUCAGUAUGCAAGCUUGUCACGCUUGAGACCCGGGUUCAAUUCCCGGC